rnacentral:rRNA from 2 species
CGAGUCUUAACCGGGCGUUAAGUUGCAGGGUAUAGACCCGAAACCCGGUGAUCUAGCCAUGGGCAGGUUGAAGGUUGGGUAACACUAACUGGAGGACCGAACCGACUAAUGUUGAAAAAUUAGCGGAUGACCUGUGGCUGGGGGUGAAAGGCCAAUCAAACCGGGAGAUAGCUGGUUCUCCCCGAAAGCUAUUUAGGUAGCGCCUCGUGAAUUCAUCUCCGGGGGUAGAGCACUGUUUCGGCUAGGGGGCCAUCCCGGCUUACCAACCCGAUGCAAACUGCGAAUACCGGAGAAUGUUAUCACGGGAGACACACGGCGGGUGCUAACGUCCGUCGUGAAGAGGGAAACAACCCAGACCGCCAGCUAAGGUCCCAAAGUCAUGGUUAAGUGGGAAACGAUGUGGGAAGGCCCAGACAGCCAGGAUGUUGGCUUAGAAGCAGCCAUCAUUUAAAGAAAGCGUAAUAGCUCACUGGUCGAGUCGGCCUGCGCGGAAGAUGUAACGGGGCUAAACCAUGCACCGAAGCUGCGGCAGCGAACGUAUCACUUAAAGCGAUUCAGCGGGUUACGAUUGACGGAGCGAAGCGACGUCAAAGCGUAUACAAAGUCGAGUCGGUUUAAGGAUACGUUCGUUGGGUAGGGGAGCGUUCUGUAAGCCUGUGAAGGUGUGUCGUGAGGCAUGCUGGAGGUAUCAGAAGUGCGAAUGCUGACAUAAGUAACGAUAAAGCGGGUGAAAAGCCCGCUCGCCGGAAGACCAAGGGUUCCUGUCCAACGUUAAUCGGGGCAGGGUGAGUCGACCCCUAAGGCGAGGCCGAAAGGCGUAGUCGAUGGGAAACGGGUUAAUAUUCCCGUACUUGGUGUUACUGCGAAGGGGGGACGGAGAAGGCUAUGUUGGCCGGGCGACGGUUGUCCCGGUUUAAGCGUGUAGGUGUGUGUUCCAGGUAAAUCCGGUUCACUUUAACACUGAGGCGUGAUGACGAGGCACUACGGUGCUGAAGCAACAAAUGCCCUGCUUCCAGGAAAAGCCUCUAAGCAUCAGGUAACAUCAAAUCGUACCCCAAACCGACACAGGUGGUCAGGUAGAGAAUACCAAGGCGCUUGAGAGAACUCGGGUGAAGGAACUAGGCAAAAUGGUGCCGUAACUUCGGGAGAAGGCACGCUGACACGUAGGUGAAGUGAUUUACUCAUGGAGCUGAAGUCAGUCGAAGAUACCAGCUGGCUGCAACUGUUUAUUAAAAACACAGCACUGUGCAAACACGAAAGUGGACGUAUACGGUGUGACGCCUGCCCGGUGCCGGAAGGUUAAUUGAUGGGGUCAGCGCAAGCGAAGCUCCUGAUCGAAGCCCCGGUAAACGGCGGCCGUAACUAUAACGGUCCUAAGGUAGCGAAAUUCCUUGUCGGGUAAGUUCCGACCUGCACGAAUGGCGUAAUGAUGGCCAGGCUGUCUCCACCCGAGACUCAGUGAAAUUGAACUCGCUGUGAAGAUGCAGUGUACCCGCGGCAAGACGGAAAGACCCCGUGAACCUUUACUAUAGCUUGACACUGAACAUUGAGCCUUGAUGUGUAGGAUAGGUGGGAGGCUUUGAAGCGUGGACGCCAGUCUGCGUGGAGCCGACCUUGAAAUACCACCCUUUAAUGUUUGAUGUUCUAACGUGGACCCGUAAUCCGGGUUGCGGACAGUGUCUGGUGGGUAGUUUGACUGGGGCGGUCUCCUCCUAAAGAGUAACGGAGGAGCACGAAGGUUGGCUAAUCCUGGUCGGACAUCAGGAGGUUAGUGCAAUGGCAUAAGCCAGCUUGACUGCGAGCGUGACGGCGCGAGCAGGUGCGAAAGCAGGUCAUAGUGAUCCGGUGGUUCUGAAUGGAAGGGCCAUCGCUCAACGGAUAAAAGGUACUCCGGGGAUAACAGGCUGAUACCGCCCAAGAGUUCAUAUCGACGGCGGUGUUUGGCACCUCGAUGUCGGCUCAUCACAUCCUGGGGCUGAAGUAGGUCCCAAGGGUAUGGCUGUUCGCCAUUUAAAGUGGUACGCGAGCUGGGUUUAGAACGUCGUGAGACAGUUCGGUCCCUAUCUGCCGUGGGCGCUGGAGAACUGAGGGGGGCUGCUCCUAGUACGAGAGGACCGGAGUGGACGCAUCACUGGUGUUCGGGUUGUCAUGCCAAUGGCACUGCCCGGUAGCUAAAUGCGGAAGAGAUAAGUGCUGAAAGCAUCUAAGCACGAAACUUGCCCCGGGAUGAGUUCUCCCUGAGACUUAGAGUCUCCUGAAGGAACGUUGAAGACGACGACGUUGAUAGGCCGGGUGUGUAAGCGCAGCGAUGCGUUGAGCUAACCGGUACUAAUGAACCGUGAGGCUUAACCUUACA